GAAAAUCUGAGGAAAGAGAUCACGACAGUUAUCGAUACCCUUCGUCUCAUCUGCCAUCUUGAAGAGAUCUCUGGUUAAGCUUCAGGUUUAUGGAUGGGCAAGGCCCUUGCAAAGUAGCUGGCACUUGAGUUCUUCGGUUGAGAAAUUGUUCUAGAGGCUCAUACAUGAUCUCACCUUUAGUGAUUGAUAGCAGAUCGUGAUCCAUGGGUGAGCACUCUGUCUCCAGGCUGUCAUGGAUCAUCUUAUUUGCUCUUGUCCAUCUUUCGGACAAUGAAACAUUCUUUAUUUAUUUUAUUUUUCUAUAUCACUUUAGAUAUGAUCAUUGUUAGUAGUUCUUGUACGAUGACUUUCGGGUCUAGAAAAUUUCAGUAAGUAGAUUGUGUGGUU